UGAGGCCAAUUACACCACACCAGGGUCUGUGGCUCUUGCUCAGGCCACUUACACCACACCAGGGCCUGUGGCACUGGCUGAGGCCACUUACACCACACCAGGGCCUGUGGCUCUGGCUGAGGCCACUUACACCACACCAGGGCCUGUGGCUCUGGCUGAGGCCACUUACACCACACCAGGGCCUGUGGCUGCUAGCUGUGGCCAUGUACAACACACCAGGCCCUGUGCUGGUUCCUGAGGCCAUCUUCAACAAUCCAGGGC
ensembl:lncRNA